AUGUAUACUUGGAUGGGGUCUAUGGGCGAUUAGAAAAGCCCAGGUCCUAGGUUGGUGACCUCCAUUGCAUUUUGGGAGGGGUGCUCGCCUAAGGUCAGCCCCUGUGGCAGAACCUACGUCAUAAUUUGUUCCCGUGAGGGCCUACGUGCGCGCGGCCCUUG